GGUGGUGACUAUAGCGAAGAGGAAACACCCGUACCCAUCCCGAACACGGUAGUUAAGCUCUUCAGCCCCGAUGAUACUGUGGGGGCAACUCCAUGGGAAAAUAGGACGUCGCCACUC
rnacentral:rRNA from 1 species